CGGCGGGUUUUCUGGGCGGUCGGUUGUCAGCGCCGAGGUGAGGGAGUAAACUGAGGCCUGUAAUCUAGAAACAUUUUGAGAAAAGGGUGAUAAACUGUAGCCCCGCCCUCAAGAAGGCAUUUAGCGGAGGAAAACAGCCACAGACAACUGCAUUUCAGAACAACUGUACUUCAAGAUUUCAGAAGAGAGGUGAAAGAAUAUAUUGCAACUUUGAUUCAAGCUUCUAGAUAGGUGGACUGAGGACAAAUUAAACUAUGGCCACUGGAUCUGAACCACAUCUGCCACCUAUGCCUCAGCUUGUGACCGAUUGAGAAAAGUGACACAAACAUUGGGAAAAACCUGCUCUUCUAAACGAAGAGGGGUGGAAAAUGUCACACGUUACAACCUCUUAUUCCUAUGAUGCACCAAUGGACUUUAUCAAUUUUACAUCUUUGGAUGAUGAGGAAGAUACCCAAAACAUAGAUUCCUGGUUUGAGGAGAAGGCCAAUCUGGAGAAUAAAUUUCCUGGAAAGAAUGGUACAGGAGGGCUUUUUCAGGACAAAACUCCUCUGAGAAAGGCUAAUCUUCAGCAAAUUACACCUUUGAGACCAGUUGACAACACAUAUAACAAAGAGGCAGAAAAAGAAAAUCUGGUGGACGAGUCCAUUUCAUCAAAUACUUAUUCUUCCAUAAAAAUUAAAGAAACCACAUCAAGAAAUAUUCCAGCUCAGCCUCAGAGAAGAUCUCUUAGACUCUCUGCUCAGAAGAAUUUGGUACAGAAAGAAAAACAUCAUGUAAAAAUGAAAGCCAAGAGAUGUGCUACUCCUGUAAUUAUCAAUGAAAUUCCACCCUCCAAAAAAAUGAAAGUUUCUAACAAUAAAAUGAAGCCAGAGGAAGAGGAAGAAGGCAGUGCUCAUCAAGAUAUUUCUGAAAAGAAUGAGUGUUCCCCAGAGAAAGCCAAGGGCAGACGCACUGGGCCUUGUAUCCCACCUAUACUCCCUGUGAAGAAAUCAGUGACCCAGGUAACCAAAUCAGUUGACUUCCACUUCCGCACAGAUGAGCGAAUCAAACAACAUCCUAAGAACCAGGAGGAGUAUAAGGAAGUGAACUUUACAUCGGAACUGCGAAAGCAUCCUCCCUCUCCUGCUCGAGUGUCAAAGGGAUGCACCAUUGUUAUGCCUUUCAACCUGUCCAAAGGAAAGAAAAGAACAUUUGAUGAGACAGCUUCUACAUAUGUUCCCCUUGCACAGCAGGUCGAAGCCUUUCAUAAGCGAACCCCUAACAGAUACCACUUGAGGAGCAAGAAGGAUGAUAGUACUCUGCUACCCUCCAAAUCUGUGGCCAAGAUAUGCAGAGACCCACAGACUCCUGUGCUACAAACCAAACAUCGUGCAAGGCCUGUGACCUGCAAAAGUACAGCGGAUCAGGAGGCCGAGGAGCUUGAGAAACUGCAGCAAUACAAAUUCAAAGCACAGGAACUUGAUCCCAGAAUUCUUGAAGGUGGGCCCAUCUUGCCCAAGAAACCACCUGUGAAGCCACCCACUCAGCCUAUUGGCUUUGAUUUGGAAAUUGAGAAAAGGAUCCAGGAGCGAGAGUCAAAGAAGAAAUCUGAGGAUGAACACUUUGAAUUUCAUUCCAGGCCUUGCCCUACUAAGAUCUUGGAAGAUGUUGUGGGUGUUCCUGAAAAGAAAGUACUUCCAGUCACUGUCCCCAAGUCACCAGCCUUUACUCUGAAGAACAGAAUCCGAAUGCCCUCCAAAGAAGAUGAGGAAGAGGAGGAGCCAGUAGUGAUAAGAGCUCAACCUGUGCCAUAUUUUGGAAUGCCUUUUAAGCCCCAAAUUCCAGUGGGGAGAACUGUGGAAAUAUGCCCCUUCUCUUUUGAUUCUCGAGACAAAAAACGUCAGUUACAGAAGGAGAAGAAAAUAAAAGAACUGCAGAAAGGGGAGGUGCCUAAGUUCAAGGCACUACCUUUGCCUCAUUUUGACACCGUUAACCUGCCAGAGAAGAAGGUGAAGAAUACAACCCAGGUUGAGCCUUUCUGCUUGGAGACUGACAGAAGAGGUGCUCUGAAGGCACAAACUUGGAAGCACCAGCUGGAGGAAGAACUAAAACAGCAGAAAGAAGCAGCUUGCUUCAAGGCUCGUCCAAACACCGUCAUCUCCCAGGAGCCCUUCGUUCCUAAGAUAGAGAAAAAAUCCCUUACUGAGGGCCUUUCUGGUUCUCUAGUCCAGGAAACUUUUCAGCUGGCCACUGAGAAGAGAGCCAGGGAGCGGCAGGAGCUGGAGAAGAGAAUGGCUGAGGUGGAAGCCCAGAAAGCUCAGCAGCUGGAGGAGGCCAGGCAACAGGAAGAGGAGCAGCAGAGGCAGGAACUGGCCAGGCUACGGAAAGAAUUGGUGCACAAGGCAAAUCCAAUACGCAAGUACCAGAGUGUGGAGGUCAAGUCAAGUGACCAGCCACUGACCAUGCCUGUAUCGCCCAAGUUUUCCACUCGAUUCCACUGCUGAACUUAGCUGCGAGCUGAUGCCACUUGGGAACCGGAGCUGCUCCUUCCAUCAAACCAGGAGGCUUCUUUGUCACGGGGGCAUGGAGAGAACCCAUUUCUCCAGGCUUUUCCCUACCCAUGACCCACAGAGUAUGCCGGACAAGUGUGGACUCCAGUUUCAUUGAAACUUGUUUUUCCUGUGUUAUUGUGGCUAAUAGUGAGACUCACCUUAUGUAUGUCUCAGCCGGACUCCGUGUAGUCAUUUCCUUUCAACCGUCAGUUGCCCUUUAAUAUGGGUCUUAACUCUGACUAGAAUUUAAAGCCCUUGCAUUAGUACAGUGUAAUUUCUAUUGCCCUUGCCCCUCCCCCCUUUCCUAUUUUAAUCAGAAAAUAAAGAUAGUUAAAUACU
rnacentral:lncRNA from 1 species